AGCGAACGCUGGCGGCAGGCUUAACACAUGCAAGUCGAGCGGGCACUUUCGGGUGUCAGCGGCGGACGGGUGAGUAACGCGUGGGAACGUGCCCUCUGGUUCGGAAUAACUCAGGGAAACUUGAGCUAAUACCGGAUACGCCCUUUUGGGGAAAGGCUUGCUGCCGGAGGAUCGGCCCGCGUCUGAUUAGCUAGUUGGUGAGGUAACGGCUCACCAAGGCGACGAUCAGUAGCUGGUCUGAGAGGAUGAUCAGCCACACUGGGACUGAGACACGGCCCAGACUCCUACGGGAGGCAGCAGUGGGGAAUAUUGGACAAUGGGCGCAAGCCUGAUCCAGCCAUGCCGCGUGAGUGAUGAAGGCCUUAGGGUUGUAAAGCUCUUUUAUCCGGGUCGAUAAUGACGGUACCGGAGGAAUAAGCCCCGGCUAACUUCGUG
rnacentral:rRNA from 1 species